rnacentral:rRNA from 1 species
UACGUAGGGGGCGAGCGUUGUCCGGAUUCAUUGGGCGUAAAGAGCUCGUAGGCGGCUUACUAAGUCGAGUGUGAAAACUCCAGGCUCAACCUGGAGCCUGCACUUGAUACUGGUAUGGCUAGAGUCCGGUAGGGGACCACGGAAUUCCUGGUGUAGCGGUGAAAUGCGCAGAUAUCAGGAGGAACACCAGCGGCGAAGGCGGCACUCUGGGCUGGAACUGACGCUGAUGCGCGAAAGCCAGGGGAGCGAACGGG